GAUGAACGCUAACGGAAUGCUUAACACAUGCAAGUCAAGGGAGAGGUUGUCUUCUUAACUCCAAUUUGGGUGGCGGACUGCUGAGUAACUAUACAAUCUGCCUUUUCAUAGGGAUAGACCGAUUAAAUUUGGAUUGCUCCUACCGGAUUAUAAGAUUUUAAUCGUCUUUAUAUUUAAGCUACCUAGGUGAAAUAUGAGAAAGCUUUCUAUCCCCUUAUUGGAGAGGAAACGGCUCCCCUCGGCGACGAUAUAAUGGGGUUCCGACCUGAAAGGCCGACCCGCCGCUACGGGACUGAGACCCAGACCCCUCCCCUACGGGACGCUGCGGUGGGGAGUAUUGUGCUCUGAACCCUGAUUCUGACCCGCCACUUCUGUGUGCAAGAUCACAUUUUUUGUAAUGUGCUUUGCUUUCGGUUGAAAAAAGAAAAAUGACGGUUUGAUGACGGUACCUGACGGCUAAAUAUCUGCCAACUCCGCGCCAAUACCUAUGUCACUACCGAUGACCCGAUUUAUUGCCCGAAUCAUUGGGCUUGGUGGGUCUGUAAGUCUGAUGAUAAAACGCAGGUGACAACUCUGAAUUGCACUAAACACCUGCCU
rnacentral:rRNA from 1 species